rnacentral:rRNA from 1 species
GACGAACGCUGGCGGCGUACUUAACACAUGCAAGUCGAACGGAAAGGCCCUGCUUUUGUGGGGUGCUCGAGUGGCGAACGGGUGAGUAACACGUGAGUAACCUGCCCUUGACUUUGGGAUAACUUCAGGAAACUGGGGCUAAUACCGGAUAGGAGCUCCUGCUGCAUGGUGGGGGUUGGAAAGUUUCGGCGGUUGGGGAUGGACUCGCGGCUUAUCAGCUUGCUGGUGGGGUAGUGGCUUACCAAGGCUUUGACGGGUAGCCGGCCUGAGAGGGUGACCGGCCACAUUGGGACUGAGAUACGGCCCAGACUCCUACGGGAGGCAGCAGUGGGGAAUAUUGCACAAUGGGCGGAAGCCUGAUGCAGCAACGCCGCGUGCGGGAUGACGGCCUUCGGGUUGUAAACCGCUUUCGCCUGUGACGAAGCGUGAGUGACGGUAAUGGGUAAAGAAGCACCGGCUAACUACGUG